rnacentral:rRNA from 1 species
GCCCUUGUUUAAAUAAAUAUAUUAUACAAUCGCAAUUUAUGGCGCGGUCUCUUUUUCUUUUCAGAGGAUUUUUCUCUUUAGGGGAUAAAACCCCCAACUCUCAUUUAUAUUGGUUAAAUCAUUUUGUAUCCCACUAUAAAAAUUAUAAUUUACUUUUAUUAUUUCUCUUCUUUAAAGAAAUAAAUUAAGUCAAGGUGCAGCUAAAAUUUAAGGUUGAAGUGAAUUACAUUUCUUUAAAGAAAUAAAACAAUGAAAUAAAAUAUAGGAUUUGAUAGUAAAAUUAAAAUAGAAAGUUAAUUUGAAUUAAGCUCUAAGAUAUGUACACAUCGCCCGUCGCUCUCAUAUAA